rnacentral:sRNA from 1 species
UCAAUUUUAUAUAUUGAUCAAACCAGAAAAUAUUCAAUAAGAUCUUGUGAGUCUUCGUUUUCAUUUUUUUUUUGUUCUAACUAGCAAAUAGAAUGGUACAAAAUUGAAAGUAAAAUAGAAAACUAUAGUUCGGUUCUGUUUUAAUUAAGUUAAAGUAGAAAAAAAAGAUGAGAGGCGAGAGAGGUGAAACAAGCAAUGGAAGAGAGGAAGAAGUGAUUAAGGUGGUGGUGGUGUGUAUGGUGUAGGUCGUAGUAAUAUUUGUGUUGGUGGUUGCAGUGGUCGUGUGUCAAUUGCGGCGGCAAUAAUGGUGAUGAUGGUAGAGAUGACAGCGUAAUGGUAGUUUCUAUGGUGGUGACGAUUGCAGUGGUGAUGGUGAUGAUGGUAUGACAUUUGUGGAAAUAGUGGUGGAUGCAAUGAUGAUGACGGUUACAAGGGUAAUGGUUGUAAUAGCAUAGAAGAGAUGGUGAUUGUAUAGUUAAGGGUACUUUAGUAUAUAUUAUAGUUUAUAUACAAAAUGUCUCUGUUUUUUUUGUUGGUUAGUUUCUUAAUUAUAGUUUUUUUGUUAGUCAAUUUUGCAAAUUUCCCUUUUAAGAAUAAUGAUAUAUAUAAAAAAA